rnacentral:rRNA from 1 species
GUUACUGCGAAGGGGGGACGGAGAAGGCUAUGUUGGCCGGGCGACGGUUGUCCCGGUUUAAGCGUGUAGGCUGGUUUUCCAGGCAAAUCCGGAAAACCAAGGCUGAGGCGUGAUGACGAGGCACUACGGUGCUGAAGUGACAAAUGCCCUGCUUCCAGGAAAAGCCUCUAAGCAUCAGGUAACAUCAAAUCGUACCCCAAACCGACACAGGUGGUCAGGUAGAGAAUACCAAGGCGCUUGAGAGAACUCGGGUGAAGGAACUAGGCAAAAUGGUGCCGUAACUUCGGGAGAAGGCACGCUGAUAUGUAGGUGAAGCGACUUGCUCGUGGAGCUGAAAUCAGUCGAAGAUACCAGCUGGCUGCAACUGUUUAUUAAAAACACAGCACUGUGCAAACACGAAAGUGGACGUAUACGGUGUGACGCCUGCCCGGUGCCGGAAGGUUAAUUGAUGGGGUUAGCGGUAACGCGAAGCUCUUGAUCGAAGCCCCGGUAAACGGCGGCCGUAACUAUAACGGUCCUAAGGUAGCGAAAUUCCUUGUCGGGUAAGUUCCGACCUGCACGAAUGGCGUAAUGAUGGCCAGGCUGUCUCCACCCGAGACUCAGUGAAAUUGAACUCGCUGUGAAGAUGCAGUGUACCCGCGGCAAGACGGAAAGACCCCGUGAACCUUUACUAUAGCUUGACACUGAACAUUGAGCCUUGAUGUGUAGGAUAGGUGGGAGGCUUUGAAGUGUGGACGCCAGUCUGCAUGGAGCCGACCUUGAAAUACCACCCUUUAAUGUUUGAUGUUCUAACGUUGGCCCGUAAUCCGGGUUGCGGACAGUGUCUGGUGGGUAGUUUGACUGGGGCGGUCUCCUCCUAAAGAGUAACGGAGGAGCACGAAGGUUGGCUAAUCCUGGUCGGACAUCAGGAGGUUAGUGCAAUGGCAUAAGCCAGCUUGACUGCGAGCGUGACGGCGCGAGCAGGUGCGAAAGCAGGUCAUAGUGAUCCGGUGGUUCUGAAUGGAAGGGCCAUCGCUCAACGGAUAAAAGGUACUCCGGGGAUAACAGGCUGAUACCGCCCAAGAGUUCAUAUCGACGGCGGUGUUUGGCACCUCGAUGUCGGCUCAUCACAUCCUGGGGCUGAAGUAGGUCCCAAGGGUAUGGCUGUUCGCCAUUUAAAGUGGUACGCGAGCUGGGUUUAGAACGUCGUGAGACAGUUCGGUCCCUAUCUGCCGUGGGCGCUGGAGAACUGAGGGGGGCUGCUCCUAGUACGAGAGGACCGGAGUGGACGCAUCACUGGUGUUCGGGUUGUCAUGCCAAUGGCACUGCCCGGUAGCUAAAUGCGGAAGAGAUAAGUGCUGAAAGCAUCUAAGCACGAAACUUGC